rnacentral:lncRNA from 1 species
UCAUUUUACAUUUUGCAAUAAUCUCUAUCUCUCGCUUGGUCUUAAACUCUUUCAUUUCCUGUUGAUCUGACAGGUAUACUAUUCUUUGUGUUCACCUAAUUUACUUAUAGUUUCCUUCUUUAUAUUUAAGUCAUUCACUCAUUCAGAAUUUAUCUUGGUAUAGGGUGUGAGAUGUUGAUCCAAAUAUAAUCUCUCCCAUACUGUCUUCCAAUUUUCCCAACAGAUUUUGCCAAAUAAUGGGUUCUUGUCUCAAAAGCUGGAAACUUUGGAUUUCUCAAACACUAUCUUGCUGAAGUCAUUUGCCCAUUUGGGGUUCUUUUGACAAAGAUACUGGAGUAGUUUGCCAUUUCCUUCUCCACUUCAUUGUUCAGAUGAGGAAACUGAAGCAAACAGGGAACCCAUGCAUGCAAAUGCUGAUUUCCACAUACAAAUGGAAUGACCCAG